UCGGUGACAGGUGCUGCAUGGCUGCCGUCAGCUCGUGUCGUGAGAUGUUGGGUUAAGUCCCGCAACGAGCGCAACCCUUGUCAUUAGUUGCUACAUUCAGUUGGGCACUCUAAUGAGACUGCCGGUGACAAACCGGGAGGAAGGUGGGGAUGACGUCAAGUCCUCAUGGCCCUUAUAGGUGGGGCUACACACGUCAUACAAUGGAUGGUACAAAGGGUCGCCAACCCGCGAGGGGGAGCCAAUCCCAUAAAGCCAUUCGUAGUCCGGAUCGCAGUCUGCAACUCGACUGCGUGAAGUCGGAAUCGCUAGUAAUCGUGGAUCAGAAUGUCACGGUGAAUACGUUCCCGGGUCUU
rnacentral:rRNA from 1 species